rnacentral:rRNA from 1 species
UACGUAGGGGGCAAGCGUUGUCCGGAUUUAUUGGGCGUAAAGCGCGCGCAGGCGGUGAAGUAAGUCUGGUGUAUAAACCUGAGGCUCAACCUUGGGACGCACUGGAAACUGUUUGACUGGAGUGUAGGAGAGGAAAGUGGAAUUCCACGUGUAGCGGUGAAAUGCGUAGAGAUGUGGAGGAACACCAGUGGCGAAGGCGACUUUCUGGCCUAUAACUGACGCUGAGGCGCGAAAGCGUGGGGAGCAAACAGG